AUGGACGCCGGGCUGGUACCACUUUUUCUGUGCGCGACGGUCGGGACGACCCAGACGACCGCCGUCGACCCCAUCGGCCAGCUCUGCGCUGUCACGGCACCAUACGACGUGUGGGUGCACGUGGACGCCGCCUACGCCGGCUCCGCGCUGGUCUGCCCGGAGUUCACCCACGUGAUCGACGGAAUGGAGGCCGUGGACUCAUUCAGCAUGAACGCCCACAAGUGGCUCCUCGCCAACAACGACUGCUGCGCGAUGUGGCGGCGCUCGGGACGGAGCAGGACGCUGGACGCGGCGACGGAGCAGGAGUACAUCCUCAAGGACGCGGCGUCGAAGGGGCACCACGUGGUGGACUACAAGGGCUGGACCAUGACGCUCACCCGCCGGUUCCGCGCGCUCAAGAUGUGGCUCCUGCUUCGCUGCUAUGGCAUCCAGGGCCUCCGUGGCCGCAUCCGCUCUCACAUUAGCAUGGCCAAGGCCUUCGAGAACAUGGUGAAAGCCGACGAAAGGUUUGAGGUGGUGACAGAAAGGACGUUUGCACUGCUAUGCUUCCGACUUCGAUCACAACAGAAGUUCGGUGGCAAGAAGACGGUGAACGAGCUCAACCGACGCCUCCUUGAGGAGGUGAUCGCUGUCACCUUGGGCCCCUACAUGAGCUCUGCAAACGUAGGUGGCAUGUUCAUGCUAAGAUGUGCCAUUGGAAGCACACUCACAGAGGACCACCACGUCAGGGAUGCAUGGAAGGUCGUGCAGGAUCAGGCCUCCAUCCUCCUUGGUAAAAUGGAUACUCCCUCCGUGUUUAUUUUCUCCACAUAUUAG
rnacentral:rRNA from 1 species